rnacentral:rRNA from 1 species
UAAGUUAUUAAGGGCGCACGGUGGAUGCCUUGGCACUAGAAGCCGAUGAAGGACGUUACUAACGACGAUAUGCUUUGGGGAGCUGUAAGUAAGCUUUGAUCCAGAGAUUUCCGAAUGGGGAAACCCAGCAUGAGUUAUGUCAUGUUAUCGAUAUGUGAAUACAUAGCAUAUCAGAAGGCACACCCGGAGAACUGAAACAUCUUAGUACCCGGAGGAAGAGAAAGAAAAUUCGAUUCCCUUAGUAGCGGCGAGCGAAACGGGAAGAGCCCAAACCAACAAGCUUGCUUGUUGGGGUUGUAGGACACUCUAUACGGAGUUACAAAGGACGACAUUAGACGAAUCAUCUGGAAAGAUGAAUCAAAGAAGGUAAUAAUCCUGUAGUCGAAAAUGUUGUCUCUCUUGAGUGGAUCCUGAGUACGACGGAGCACGUGAAAUUCCGUCGGAAUCUGGGAGGACCAUCUCCUAAGGCUAAAUACUCUCUAGUGACCGAUAGUGAACCAGUACCGUGAGGGAAAGGUGAAAAGCACCCCGGAAGGGGAGUGAAAUAGAACCUGAAACCGUGUGCUUACAAGUAGUCAGAGCCCGUUAAUGGGUGAUGGCGUGCCUUUUGUAGAAUGAACCGGCGAGUUACGAUUUGAUGCAAGGUUAAGCAGUAAAUGUGGAGCCGUAGCGAAAGCGAGUCUGAAUAGGGCGUUUAGUAUUUGGUCGUAGACCCGAAACCAGGUGAUCUACCCUUGGUCAGGUUGAAGUUCAGGUAACACUGAAUGGAGGACCGAACCGACUUACGUUGAAAAGUGAGCGGAUGAACUGAGGGUAGCGGAGAAAUUCCAAUCGAACCUGGAGAUAGCUGGUUCUCUCCGAAAUAGCUUUAGGGCUAGCCUCAAGUGAUGAUUAUUGGAGGUAGAGCACUGUUUGGACGAGGGGCCCCUCUCGGGUUACCGAAUUCAGACAAACUCCGAAUGCCAAUUAAUUUAACUUGGGAGUCAGAACAUGGGUGAUAAGGUCCGUGUUCGAAAGGGAAACAGCCCAGACCACCAGCUAAGGUCCCAAAAUAUAUGUUAAGUGGAAAAGGAUGUGGCGUUGCCCAGACAACUAGGAUGUUGGCUUAGAAGCAGCCAUCAUUUAAAGAGUGCGUAAUAGCUCACUAGUCGAGUGACACUGCGCCGAAAAUGUACCGGGGCUAAACAUAUUACCGAAGCUGUGGAUUGUCCUUUGGACAAUGGUAGGAGAGCGUUCUAAGGGCGUUGAAGCAUGAUCGUAAGGACAUGUGGAGCGCUUAGAAGUGAGAAUGCCGGUGUGAGUAGCGAAAGACGGGUGAGAAUCCCGUCCACCGAUUGACUAAGGUUUCCAGAGGAAGGCUCGUCCGCUCUGGGUUAGUCGGGUCCUAAGCUGAGGCCGACAGGCGUAGGCGAUGGAUAACAGGUUGAUAUUCCUGUACCACCUAUAAUCGUUUUAAUCGAUGGGGGGACGCAGUAGGAUAGGCGAAGCGUGCGAUUGGAUUGCACGUCUAAGCAGUAAGGCUGAGUAUUAGGCAAAUCCGGUACUCGUUAAGGCUGAGCUGUGAUGGGGAGAAGACAUUGUGUCUUCGAGUCGUUGAUUUCACACUGCCGAGAAAAGCCUCUAGAUAGAAAAUAGGUGCCCGUACCGCAAACCGACACAGGUAGUCAAGAUGAGAAUUCUAAGGUGAGCGAGCGAACUCUCGUUAAGGAACUCGGCAAAAUGACCCCGUAACUUCGGGAGAAGGGGUGCUCUUUAGGGUUAACGCCCAGAAGAGCCGCAGUGAAUAGGCCCAAGCGACUGUUUAUCAAAAACACAGGUCUCUGCUAAACCGUAAGGUGAUGUAUAGGGGCUGACGCCUGCCCGGUGCUGGAAGGUUAAGAGGAGUGGUUAGCUUCUGCGAAGCUACGAAUCGAAGCCCCAGUAAACGGCGGCCGUAACUAUAACGGUCCUAAGGUAGCGAAAUUCCUUGUCGGGUAAGUUCCGACCCGCACGAAAGGCGUAACGAUUUGGGCACUGUCUCAACGAGAGACUCGGUGAAAUCAUAGUACCUGUGAAGAUGCAGGUUACCCGCGACAGGACGGAAAGACCCCGUGGAGCUUUACUGUAGCCUGAUAUUGAAAUUCGGCACAGCUUGUACAGGAUAGGUAGGAGCCUUUGAAACGUGAGCGCUAGCUUACGUGGAGGCGCUGGUGGGAUACUACCCUAGCUGUGUUGGCUUUCUAACCCGCACCACUUAUCGUGGUGGGAGACAGUGUCAGGCGGGCAGUUUGACUGGGGCGGUCGCCUCCUAAAAGGUAACGGAGGCGCUCAAAGGUUCCCUCAGAAUGGUUGGAAAUCAUUCAUAGAGUGUAAAGGCAUAAGGGAGCUUGACUGCGAGACCUACAAGUCGAGCAGGGUCGAAAGACGGACUUAGUGAUCCGGUGGUUCCGCAUGGAAGGGCCAUCGCUCAACGGAUAAAAGCUACCCCGGGGAUAACAGGCUUAUCUCCCCCAAGAGUUCACAUCGACGGGGAGGUUUGGCACCUCGAUGUCGGCUCAUCGCAUCCUGGGGCUGUAGUCGGUCCCAAGGGUUGGGCUGUUCGCCCAUUAAAGCGGUACGCGAGCUGGGUUCAGAACGUCGUGAGACAGUUCGGUCCCUAUCCGUCGUGGGCGUAGGAAAUUUGAGAGGAGCUGUCCUUAGUACGAGAGGACCGGGAUGGACAUACCUCUGGUGUACCAGUUGUCGUGCCAACGGCAUAGCUGGGUAGCUAUGUGUGGACGGGAUAAGUGCUGAAAGCAUCUAAGCAUGAAGCCCCCCUCAAGAUGAGAUUUCCCAACUUCGGUUAUAAGAUCCCUCAAAGAUGAUGAGGUUAAUAGGUUCGAGGUGGAAGCAUGGUGACAUGUGGAGCUGACGAAUACUAAUCGAUCGAAGACUUAAUCAA